GAAAUAAUCUUUUGUUAUCUAGCCCUUCACGUAGAAGGGCAAUAAGCCCCACAUGGCACUGCCAUCUUUCCCAACCCCCCAAAAGGAUGGAAAAUUCCAAGGCAGUUUCCUUAGCAGGAACCAUGAAGCAGGUUAUAACUAUUAGCAGCAAUCGCUAGGCUAUAUACCCUUGGAGCGCUAAGGAACGGACAGGCAGUCAGAAUUCCCUGCUUUAAAUCUCCCCUCAAGGUUGCAAAGAGGAGAGAUUCUUCCAUUCACAUAGGCGACCAGUGAGAAAAGGUCACUUAAGAUCAGAACACACGGGGCUAAUAAAUAAAAAGCAUGAGGUUGUGUGCUUCACGCUGCUCCGGGGACACAUGCACAGGGCAGGCACGAUGCUGCUGACAGAAAGUCAAAGGGGCAGCGCCCAAACGGGUGCCCCAGUUUAAAGUGGGAUCUCCGUGAAAGUUCUUCUGGAAUUCAGAGGCACGGCAGGCAGUCCUACUCCCUCUGAGCUCACAGAUUAGGAGCUCUCCCCAGCUGCCGAGCGUGCCUGGCCCCUAACCUUAUUAGGCAACUGGCAGAGAAUAAUCUGUAAGUGCUCACACUGCCUCAGCCGCCACACUCAGACGCCAGGGAGCUGCCGCCUCUCGUCAGGAUUCGUCAUUCAGCUCAGGGCAUUCUGGGUAAGGUGAGCUCUCAUUUCUCCUUUCUAGCACUUUGCCAGCUUACGGGAUGGUAAGAUGGAAGAGUGAACUCUUUUGUCCCUUCCUGCAGGGUCAAGAGGUCGUACUACUUUACAUGAUACGAAAUCAAAUCAGCUCCGUCAUCCCCCAGGUGAUGAGGGGGAGGCAGACGCCUCCUGCUGCCAGACAUCCUGGAGGAACAAGCCACCCCCAGUUCCUGAGAACCCAACCUGCAGUUGGGCAGGUGUAAAGCUAGAUCCACAGCUACCCGGGGGCAGACAAGACCCCUCCCGCCCCUGAGCCGUGCACAUGGGGGGUACGCCCCACCCACCAUGUGUACACCCGCAGCCGGCGUGCACUUGGCUGUGGACUGGCCUGACACUCGGCGCAUCCACGCCCAUGCGGAGAUCCCAGGCCUGGGGAUGCCACCUUCUUCCGCUCACGUCCUUGGCUUUGUGACCACAGUGACUUUGGCGCGGCACAGAGAGAUUCUGCCUUGCCCCUCUCUCCUGUCUCCAGCAGGGGCGUUUCUGAGCCAUCACCUACAGUUCCUUAAGCUUCACUCUUUCUCAGGCACUCCCAUGCUUCCAAGAGGGCCGUGCCCUGUCAAGAAAGCUGGCAGACACCUGGGCAUGACCGGCUGCCCUGUGUGAAACAUCCCCGGCUGGCCCUUCUCUCUGAAGCUCUGAAUCCCGCACAGAAGCUGCUCUGCCCCCUCCCCAUCACAGGUCACAUUGCCAGGACCGGGAUUCCAGCCCACCCCUGCCAGUUCCUGCUGCUCAGGCCAUCCCCUCCUCCUCAUCGAGGUCCCAGGUGCCUCUUUCCCUCCCAGGCCUGCCCGGGCUGAAGCGCUCUUCCCACGCCUGCUGGUUUGCAGAGGCAGCCCUGGGCACCCCUCUCCAUCAGUCUCCUGAGGUCCUUUGGGGGCAAGUGCAAAGAAGGUCAGGGGCAGAGCAUGUCGGCCUAAGCUCAGGCUGUGGGCAGCACCCACCGUCAUCACCACCGCACAGCCACGCCCAUGCCAGGAAGCCGAGUGAGAGCUGGAGCACCAACACGCAGCUCGGCACAGACCACAGGAAGGCAUGCUGUGGCCUGUGGUCCUGGUCCUGGACCUGGAACCUGGUGCUAACUCUCAGGUAACCCCUAGGACCUGGGUUCUGGUGGGUAUUCCCUUCCUGAAGAGAGAGCAUCCCUUCCUGGCCAGGGGGUGGCAGAGAUGGGGUGCCCUUGCUUAUCCUUCAUCUCCCUGAGUCUGCUGCCCUAAGAGUGCCUUUAAUUCAGCAGCAGAACUAUAGAGCCAGAAUCAAAGCACCCAUCUGGAGAAAAUGUGUCAUGCUUGACCCCAAAGAUCCUGAAUUCCUUCCUCUUCCCCAGAGCCACCUGGUACUUCUGGGUCAAACUAAGCCUACGCACGCCCGGGACCCAGUCACCUACUCCUGGGUGCAUCUCCCAGAGAAAUUCCCGUAUAGGUUUGGAAGGGGCAUGUGCAAGGGGUUCACUGGGACAUUAUCAGUGGUGGCAAGGAGCUGAAGGCGACCUGGGGUUCUCUCCCCCGGUGAUGGAGGUAAAAUGUGUGAGCUGGAUAACAGGGGAUGUUAUGUGACACAGAAACCCAGAUCAGACGCACACACGACAAUAGUGGUGAUCCGAGGAACAGUGGUUAAUGGGAGGGAGGAAGGUGCUUUAACAGCUUUACACAAGUUAAAAUCUCAUGAUCUAAAGCAAUUCUAUACGUUUUAAGGGACAUACUUAAAUAAAAAGAUACACAUUAGCACCUGAGAAUGAUGCUGACAGGCAGGGAAAGGAACAGACGUGGGAUGUGGGGAAACGGUGAGCACAGGAAGGGCCUUAGGUGGACUGAUGAUACCAGUGGGCGUGAACUCAUAGCAUGACCUGCUCAGUACUCCACACGGGAGAUCCGGGAAACAAAAUAAAACAUAGAUGCUGGAACCUUCAGUGGAACCCCCUACAGAGGCCAUACUGUCCAGGAUAUGCUGUGGGAAUGACAACAAAGCUUAUCAGUUUGGCCAGAUGCCUUCAGGGGGUGGGGAGAGGUAGGGCCCCCGCAUAGCACAAACUUUCUCCAAACAGUGACACCAAGAAGUGACCUAUAGGAUUGAGAGUCCAUUUCUGAUCAUCUGGCUUAUUGAGAUCCAGCCCAUGUCAGAGACCCCAAGAAGCAUCAAGUUGGAGACACAAGGCUUCAUGGCAUGGGUGGGGAAACUGAGACAGGAAUGUGCCACAGAGGGUAAUGUCACUCCCUGGCUGCAUUCUAAAAUAGCAUCACUACAUCAAGAUGAAAAGGGCAGUCCUUCAGGCCCAGAACCAUGGAGGAUGCACCCUCUUUCAAUAAUCUGAGUCAUACUGACCUGGGUCAUCUCUGUGGCCUCCUAUGACUCAUGGGGUGGGGGCAGCGUUCAUAGCGAGCUAGAGCUCAAAAAGCUGUAGAGGAUGAAACAGCAGUGCCAACCACUCCCUCCAACUGGUUAAGGAGGACAAGAGCCAGUUUCAGGGGGGAGCAACGAUGCCGUUCAGGUCUGUUGUUUAGGAAAGCAGUGCUGGCAGCCUCCGCCAGUCCCUCUCACCUGAUCAUGUGAAUGCUCAGGAUAUGGGUCAUCAAGGGCUUCUGCUUCUCACCGAGUGGGAAGCAGCACCUCGGAGCUGGGACGGGAGGCUGCCUGGCAGCAGAGAGGACGCAGACCUCGGGCAGUUGAGUGUCCAGGAGGUAUACCCUCUCAGACAACAGAGCUUGCCUUUCUCGGGGCUGCUUUCUGUGGUUUUUCCACAUUUUGGUUCCAUGGGAACAAAGGGGCUUUUUAGCAGCUGGACUGGAUCUUGCAUUAUUUUUAGAAACAACUUCCAGCAGAAACAUGCCACGCUGGUGGAGAGAGAGGAGCGCCACUCUGCCUUGGCUACUGGGUCAGGAUCUUGCUGCUCCUGGGCCGCAGGCUCUGGUGGAGUCCUCAUGGGUGAAAGGCGAGCUGUCUGGCCUCAGACUGAGAAGGCUACCUCUCGCCCCCACCAGGGGGUAGGCUGUGGGCAGUGCUCUGUCCCCAGCUCAGCAGGAGAGGAAGCAAACUGACAGCCCUGUGUGACCCAGACACUAGUCAGAGUACCACACAGCGGAACAGCAUCACGCCUGGCCGACGCCCCAUCACCGCCCUGCACUCCAUGCGGUCUCACUGGUGCAGAGAGCAGGCCCUUUACUCUGUUCCAGCCUCCUUUCAGCCCAUCUCCUGAAGUCCUAGGCAAACAGGCAAGAGCAGCCUGCUGAGAAGACGGUGCUUAUUAUGGAAGAGAACUGGGACCCCUCCCUCACAAUCUGUCCCCUUGCUACCCAGUGUCACCCCUCCUU